rnacentral:rRNA from 1 species
CACGUAGGGCGCGAGCGUUGUCCGGAAUUAUUGGGCGUAAAGAGCUCGUAGGCGGUUUGUCGCGUCUGCUGUGAAAACCCGAGGCUCAACCUCGGGCCUGCAGUGGGUACGGGCAAACUAGAGUGCGGUAGGGGAGAAUGGAAUUCCUGGUGUAGCGGUGGAAUGCGCAGAUAUCAGGAGGAACACCGAUGGCGAAGGCAGUUCUCUGGGCCGUAACUGACGCUGAGGAGCGAAAGCGUGGGGAGCGAACAGG